UACGAAGGGGGGCUAGCGUUGUUCGGAAUUACUGGGCGUAAAGCGUAUGCAGGCGGAUCGUUAAGUCGGGGGGUGAAAUCCCGAGGCUCAACCUCGGAACUGCCUUCGAUACUGGCGAUCUUGAGUCCGGGAGAGGUGAGUGGAACUCCGAGUGUAGAGGUGAAAUUCGUAGAUAUUCGGAAGAACACCAGUAGCGAAAGGCGGCUCACUGGCCCGGUACUGACGCUGAGAUACGAAAGCGUGGGGAGCAAACAGG
rnacentral:rRNA from 1 species